AACAUAGGUCUCAAUAGAGACCCAUUUCUUCUGUCACCAGAAGGGGAUCUGGUUGUUGUUGCCGCACCGUCGACCUAGCCAAGCAGCGGCGUUAUAGCUUUUCUCCAUGGAUCAACUUACCUGAAGCUGAGAUGAAGAAGGAAGAAUGGAAUGAAUAUGCUGGCGUUCUGAACCGGAAAAGGGGAAGAAAUUGAGCUGAAAUUCAGUUGGAAAUUUGUUGCUGUUGUGUCUGAUUUUGGGGAGUAUACAAUGGGUAUUUGCCAGGGUCCAUCAAGAUAUUUUGAAGCUCGACCUUACAGGCUAAAAUGAGUUCGAACUGAUGUUUGAAUCAGUGGUUCGAGUGUGUGCUAGUUAGAGUUCAGGUUGAUGGCAGAAUUGUUGGUUUGUUUGAAGACGUAAACCAGAUGAAUGGGGUGGAAUUGAAGCUGUUGUUGCGAUGGCUGAAUCAUGGAGCUGAGGUCUGAAAUUGGGGCAGAUUUGUGAACGGAAAUCAGCGACAAAGAGGAGGAUUUCAAGUAGUUUCUGCUGACAAGAAUGACGAAGGGUGUAGCUCAAAUUACAGGAUGCAUUGGUUCGAUUCGGAGGAGAUAUGGCGAGUUCUUGAGCUGAAUUACAGCUGUAAUAGGCUGCUGCUACAACCAAACUGAUGGAUUGUUCUACAGGGUUUUGAGUUCAAAUUGUAAUCCGUGGUGAUUUAAGGUCAGGUUUGAAGCUGAGAAUUGGUUGUUAGCUGUCAAGAGUUAUGAGACAUCUACAAAGGGAAGAACUGAAGCUGUGUUCUGGUGGUUGUAGUUCAAUUUGCAGGGUCGAUUUGGGUAUCGAAAUGUGGUUGCUGUUUGGUGAAGAUGUCAGUGGAAUUGAGGAUUGUUCAUGAGCAGAAGCAACGGGUUUUUGAGAGCACAUUGACUGCAACAGACACAGCAGAUGUUCGAGAGAUGGCUUUAGCAACAGCAGCUUGCCAUGAAUUCAGUGAAGCAGGUGAGUGUUUACAAGAGUUGAACAGCUACAACUGGUUGCAGUGUACAUGGUCUUGAGGCGAGGACAAUGGUGACUACUGGUGAUGCAGGCAGUGAAUGGUGUUAGAAAUAAAUGGUUAGUUGGUUCAAGUUUUGGAGCGCAACUUCAGCUGAAAUAUGAUGUUGCUGGACUGUUUCACAGGGUUUCUUGUGGGAUGAUUUUUGCAGACUGAACUGGCUCGGUUUUGAGGAGAUACUGCAAGUUUUUGAGCUAAAUUUCAGCUGUAGUUCGUGAGAUUUUGGUCAUGGUUUUAUGUAGAAGAUCAGGCAAAGAACUGCAAUUGUUGGUGUCCAAUUUGGGAGCUGUGUUCGAAGGGUUUUGAUGUUCAUCUGCCAAGGAUUGAAAUGGUCUCAAUGAGCGAAACAAACAAAACUGUAGCUCAAGUGUGCUGGGUUUGGAGUUGAACUGGGUUUGUAUGGAUGAAGUAAUGGCUUGCACUGUGGUGGUUUUGAGAGAUGUUUGAAGCUUGGGAGGACACGGCAGUAGUAACUUGAAAUAAAGGGUAGUUCAGGCAACCAAGGAAUGAGGCUGUGCAGGGUAGUCUGGUGAAUUUUUGGCAUUGGCUUGGACCGGAUUUAGAAGCUUACAAGGACAGAAACUUGAGUACUAAUCAGUCUCGGCAUUGGAUAGAGCUUGGGUCCGUGAAAACUGCUACCAAGUGGUGCUGUUGCAGUUGGUUGACAGAGAUGAAUGGAUAUGAUUGGGGCCAUUUUAGUAUUUGUGUAUGCCGAUAAGUCAGUCAAGAGAAGGUCACGACUUUGCAGGAGCAGAAAAGGAUAUAAGAAGCCGCGAAAGCAGCAGAAACCCUACCCUGGAUAUCACCCUUUUGACGCCCCUGAAGUGCUGGAGAAAAGUUCGGUGAAAGCUACAACAACAACUCUGGUUGCUGUUUUGGCAUUAUUUCUUUGGUGAAUGCGUGGAGAGGGCAGACUAAGUCCAAUUGGUAUACGUCUUCGUUCGGGCACUUUGCUAAAAGACUUGAUUCGAGCAGUGAAUACUCCACUUCCUCCUAGUUCUACACCAAGUGAAUUCUCGGACUCGGACAAAGAGGAAGACAACACAAUGGGAGGUCGACCACCUGCUCCAAGAACACUCAAGGAGCUCACUUCUCCAAACAUUGACCAGCAACCUUUAUGUAUUCAGCUGAAUGGAACUAUUGAGUUGAAGCCGCAAUUGAUUCACUUGCUGCCCAAAUUCAGAGGUUUAUCGGGAGAGGAUCCUAAUCGUCACUUACAGCAAUUCCAUCAUGUUGUGACUAGCUUGAAGGAAGCAACUGCAGAUGCCGAUAUGACUAUGAUGACAAUUUUUCCUUUCUCCUUUAUAAAUGAUGCAUGAGAGUGGUUCUUUUGCUUACCCUCUGGAAGCAUAACCACAUGGAAUGGAAUGAAGAAGUUGUUCCUUGAGAAGUAUUUUCCGGCAUCAAAAGCAGCUGUGAUUCGCAAGGAGAUUUGUGGUAUUAUACAAGUAUCGGGGGAGACUCUCUAUGAGUAUUAGGAGCGCUACAAGAAACUUUUAGCUAGCUGUCCACAGCACCAAAUCAACGAUCAACUUGUGAUUCAAUAUUUCUAUAAGGGGUUGCUUUCUACUGGUAGAAAUUUGAUCGAUGCCGCAAGUGGUGGUGCACUCACCAACAAAACCAUUGCUGACGCUACAAGCUUGUUAGAAAACAUGGCUGCAAACACUCAACAAUUCUACACUCGAGAUGAACCAAUGGUAAGGAAAGUGAAUGAAGUUGGUGAUUCUUCACAUAUGGAACUUAGAAUGGGUAACAUGGAGAGGAUGAUGCAACAAAUAGCAGCGGCUGUACUACCAUCAUACACCGAAGAAGUUGAGCAAACAAGUGCUAUGUACCAAAAUCAGCAAAGGCCAAGCCAUAUUCCAGCACAUAUAAUCCGGGUUGGUGUGAUCAUCCUAAUUUCAGCUACACCAACAAGCAAGCUGCAACAAAUCCUACUUUCAAUGAACAAGGAGGGUACCAAUUCAUGCAAAGGAUGUAACAAGAAGCUCAAGGCAUGAGUAUAGAUGACAAGUUGAAUCUCAUUCUCAACACAAUGGCGCAAGAUAAGCAAAAGGCAAAGAUGGAUAUGAAGGACAUCCGUACAGGGUCAACUAGCUACUACCAUGAGCAAAUUGGAAGCACAAGCAGCUGGAAAACUUCCUUCGCAACCAUUAAAUAAUAAGGAGACUGUCAAUGCUAUUGAGUUGCGAAGUGGGAAACAAGUAGAGAAACCGGUAACAUCACCGGAGGCCCGUGAACGUGAUUUAGAGAAAGAAGUGGAUGAAGCAGUCCCUAAGGAUGAUUCGGUACUAUUCCUUUGGUGAAUUCGUGGAGAGGGCAGACCAAGUCCAAUUGGUAUACGUCUUCGUUCGGGCACUUUGCUAAAAGACUUGAUUCGAGCAGUGAAUACUCCACUUCCUCCUAGUUCUACACCAAGUGAACUCUCGGACUCGGACAAAGAGGAAGACAACACAAUGGGAGGUCGACCACCUGCUCCAAGAACACUCAAGGAGCUCACUUCUCCAAACAUUGACCAACAACCUUUAUGUAUUCAGCUGAAUGGAACUAUUGAGUUGAAGCCACAAUUGAUUCACUUGCUUCCCAAUUUCAGAGGUUUAUCGGGAGAGGGUCCUAAUCGUCACUUACAACAAUUCCAUCAUGUUGUGACUAGCUUGAAGCAAGCAACUGCAGAUGCCGAUAUGGCUAUGGUGACAGUGAAAAAGCGGGGGUACAACAACCACACCCAACAAUUCGAUUAGCAAUCUGUAUGGACAAACUCCAAUAUACUUUAUAGAGAAUCAA